rnacentral:rRNA from 1 species
AUACGUAGGGCGCGAGCGUUGUCCGGAAUUACUGGGCGUAAAGGGAGCGUAGGCGGGAGUGCAAGUCAGAUGUGAAAUACAUGGGCUCAACCCAUGGGCUGCAUUUGAAACUGCAUUUCUUGCGUGAAGAAGAGGUAAGCGGAAUUCCUGGUGUAGCGGUGAAAUGCGUAGAUAUCAGGAGGAACACCGGUGGCGAAGGCGGCUUACUGGGCUUUUACUGACGCUGAGGCUCGAAAGCGUGGGGAGCAAACAGGAUUAGAUACCCUGGUAGUCCACGCUGUAAACGAUGAUUACUAGGUGUGGGGGGACUGACCCCUUCCGUGCCGCAGUUAACACAAUAAGUCAUCCACCUGGGGAGUACGGCCGCAAGGUUGAAACUCAAAUGAAUUGACGGGG